rnacentral:rRNA from 1 species
GGGGAAUAUUGCACAAUGGAGGAAACUCUGAUGCAGCGACGCCGCGUGAGCGAAGAAGGCCUUCGGGUCGUAAAGCUCUGUCCUAUGGGACGAUAAUGACGGUACCAUAGGAGGAAGCCCCGGCUAACUACGUGCCAGCAGCCGCGGUAAUACGUAGGGGGCGAGCGUUGUCCGGAAUGACUGGGCGUAAAGGGUACGUAGGCGGCUAGACAAGUCAGAUGUGAAAGGCGCAGGCUUAACCUGUGUAAGCAUUUGAAACUGUUUAGCUUGAGUUAAGGAGAGGAAAGUGGAAUUCCUGGUGUAGCGGUGAAAUGCGUAGAUAUCAGGAGGAAUACCAGUGGCGAAGGCGACUUUCUGGACUUAUACUGACGCUGAGGUACGAAAGCGUGGGGAGCAAAC